UGGGGAAUUUUGGACAAUGGGCGCAACCCUGAUCCAGCCAUGCCGCGUGUGUGAAGAAGGCCUUCGGGUUGUAAAGCACUUUCGGACGGAACGAAAUCGCGCGGGCGAAUAUCCUGCGUGGAUGACGGUACCGUAAGAAGAAGCACCGGCUAACUACGUGCCAGCAGCCGCGGUAAUACGUAGGGUGCGAGCGUUAAUCGGAAUUACUGGGCGUAAAGUGUGCGCAGGCGGCGUCGCAAGUCGAGUGUGAAAUCCCCGGGCUUAACCUGGGAAUUGCGCUCGAAACUACGAUGCUGGAGUGUGGCAGAGGAAGGUGGAAUUCCACGUGUAGCGGUGAAAUGCGUAGAGAUGUGGAGGAACACCGAUGGCGAAGGCAGCCUUCUGGGCCAACACUGACGCUCAUGCACGAAAGCGUGGGGAGCAAACAGGAUUAGAUACCCCUGUAGUCCCUGAGCGGGCUGGCAAGGCGCAU
rnacentral:rRNA from 1 species